AAAGCCCAAAGGAGAAGAAGAGGAAGAGAUGGCAGUGAGCGGCACCCAAAUUUACUCCAACGCUCUCCGCAAGCUCCUUACAUGCGACAUCCGUGGGAGCAUCUUUUGGGGGAUAGGGCUGGGAGCAGUGUUUCUUAACCAGCUAGUGAGUUGGGACGCUCAGCUCCAACGGGACCUUGACCAAAUGCUCGAAAAGGCCAAGGCAGCCAACGAGCGCCGCUACUUUGAUGAUGAUGAUUAAUGCUUUUGGCCUAUCAUCAUAUAAGACAUUUCAUGCACCAAGAAACCGUGAUCAUAAAACUGUUUCAGGUUAUCGACAGAUGAUUUUGGACUGUUUGUUUAUUUUCGAUCCUGUUGAAGAACCUUUUCUUUGUUCCCUUUUUUUCCUUGUUCAAUAUAGCCUUGUGAUUCUGGAUGCAAAGUGCAAACUGGUUAGUGCAAGUGUUUCUCUUGUAAUAAAUUCAUAAAUGAUUCAAAGAAAUCGCACUAUUUUUC